rnacentral:misc_RNA from 1 species
GUGAAGAACGUAGUGAAAUGCGAUAAGUAAUGUGAAUUGCAGAAUUCAGUGAAUCAUCGAAUCUUUGAACGCACAUUGCGCCCGCCAGUAUUCUGGCGGGCAUGCCUGUCUGAGCGUCAUUUCAACCCUCAUGCCCCUAGGGCGUGGUGUUGGGGAUCGGCCAAAGCCCGCGAGGGACGGCCGGCCCCUAAAUCUAGUGGCGGACCCGUCGUGGCCUCCUCUGCGAAGUAGUGAUAUUCCGCAUCGGAGAGCGAUGAGCCCCUGCCGUUAAACCCCCAACUUUCCAAGGUUGACCUCAGAUCAGGUAGGAAUACCCGCUGAACUUAAGCAUAUCAAUAAGCGGAGGA